CCUACGGGAGGCAGCAGUGAGGAAUAUUGGUCAAUGGGCGUAAGCCUGAACCAGCCAAGUCGCGUGAGGGAAGACUGCCCUAUGGGUUGUAAACCUCUUUUGUCAGGGAGCAAUUGGCGCUACGUGUAGCGUUAUCGAGAGUCCCUGCAGAAAAAGCAUCGGCUAACUCCGUGCCAGCCGCCGCGGUAAUACGGAGGAUGCGAGCGUUAUCCGGAUUUAUUGGGUUAAAGGGGUGCGUAGGCGGAUUUUUAAGUCAGCGGUAAAAUGUCCGGGCUCAACCCGGGCCGGCCGUUGAAACUGGGGAUCUUGAGUGGGCGAGAAGUAUGCGGAAUGCGUGGUGUAGCGGUGAAAUGCAUAGAUAUCACGCAGAACUCCGAUUGCGAAGGCAGCAUACCGGCGCCCAACUGACGCUGAAGCACGAAAGCGUGGGUAUCGAACAGGAUUAGAUACCCCGGUAGUC
rnacentral:rRNA from 1 species